GCGGGCAUAGCUCAGUGGUAGAGCGUCUCGUUGCCAACGAGAAGGUCGAGGGUUCGAAUCCCUUUGCCCGCUCCA
rnacentral:tRNA from 1 species